rnacentral:rRNA from 1 species
UAUACGCUGUUAUCCCUUGAGUAUUUUUCUCAAAUAAUCAUUAAUAAUGGGUCCCGGAUUAUAUUAAACUGGGCUGGGCAAGCCCUCCCUAUGAAUUUUAAAAUAAUUAAUUUCUUAUAAGAAAUUAAUUAUUUUUAGUUGGGGCAACUAGAAAAUAUUAUAACCUUUUUAUAUAAUAAAAUGACCCAUUAUUAAUGAUCACUUGGGAAAAAUACUCUAGGGAUAACAGCGUAAUAAUUUUUGAUAGAACCUAUAGACAAAAUAGUUUGCGACCUCGAUGUUGGAUUAGGAUACUUUUUUAAUGAAGAUGUUAAAAAAAGAAGUUUGUUCAACUUUUAAAGUCCUACUUGAUCUGAGCUCAGACCGGACCGG